rnacentral:lncRNA from 1 species
UCCUUUUUGUACGUCGAUUAACGUUCUCCCUGUUGCUAAGAAUGGUCGUCCGAGAAUGAUGGGCAGUUCCGUAUCUGCUUCACAAUCCAAGAUAACGAAGUCUGCUGGAAAGAUGAAUUUAUCCACCCUUACUAAUACGUCUUCAACGAUACCUCGUGGAUAUGUAACUGAUCGGUCUGCUAACAGUUAACUGAUAUUUGUCGG